UACGGGAGUGGCAAGCGUUAUCCGGAAUUAUUGGGCGUAAAGCGUCCGCAGGUGGCCCUGUAAGUCUGUCGUUAAAGCGUGGAGCUUAACUCCAUUUAAGCGAUGGAAACUACAGGGCUAGAGUGUGGUAGGGGCAGAGGGAAUUCCCGGUGUAGCGGUGAAAUGCGUAGAUAUCGGGAAGAACACCAGUGGCGAAGGCGCUCUGCUGGGCCAUCACUGACACUCAUGGACGAAAGCCAGGGGAGCGAAA
rnacentral:rRNA from 1 species